rnacentral:misc_RNA from 1 species
AUGCGAUAAGUAAUGUGAAUUGCAGAAUUCCGUGAAUCAUCGAAUCUUUGAACGCACAUUGCGCCCGCCAGUAUUCUGGCGGGCAUGCCUGUCCGAGCGUCAUUUCAACCCUCAAGCCCCCGGGCUUGGUGUUGGGGCUCGGCCCGUCCCUAGCGGACGCGCCGUCCCCGAAAUCUAGUGGCGGUCUCGCUGUCGCCUCCCCUGCGUAGUAGCUAACACCUCGCAACGGGAACGCAGCGCGGCCACGCCGUUAAACACCCCAAUUCUGAAAGGUUGACCUCGGAUCAGGUAGGAAUACCCGCUGAACUUAA